AGGACGAACGCUGGCGGCGUGCUUAACACAUGCAAGUCGAGCGGAAAGGCCCUUCGGGGUACUCGAGCGGCGAACGGGUGAGUAACACGUGAGCAACCUGCCCCUGGCUCUGGGAUAGCCUCCGGAAACGGGGAUUAAUACCGGACAUUCACUUCCUUCCGCAUGGUUGGUGGUGGAAAGUUUUUCGGCCGGGGAGGGGCUCGCGGUCUAUCAGCUUGUUGGCGGGGUAACGGCCCACCAAGGCGACGACGGAUAGCCGGCCUGAGAGGGCGAUCGGCCACACUGGGACUGAGACACGGCCCAGACUCCUACGGGAGGCAGCAGUGGGGAAUAUGCACAAUGGGCGCAAGCCUGAUGCAGCGACGCCGCGUGGGGGAUGAAGGCCUUCGGGUUCGUAAACCCCUUUCACCAGGAGCGAAUUCAGACGGUACCUGGGGAAGAAGCGCCGGCUAACGUACGUGCCAGCAGCCGC
rnacentral:rRNA from 1 species